rnacentral:rRNA from 1 species
GACGAGGGGUCCUAGCGUUGUUCGGAAUCACUGGGCGUAAAGCGUAUGUAGGCGGCUUUUCAAGUCAGGUGUGAAAUCCCAUGGCUUAACCAUGGAAUUGCAUUUGAAACUGUAAAGCUUGAGUAUUGGAGAGGAUGGUAGAAUUCCUGGUGUAGUGGUGAAAUACGUAGAUAUCAGGAGGAAUACCGGUGGCGAAGGCGGCCAUCUGGCCAAAUACUGACGCUGAGAUACGAAAGUGUGGGGAUCAAACAG